UACGUAGGGGGCAAGCGUUGUCCGGAAUCAUUGGGCGUAAAGAGCGUGUAGGCGGCUUGGUAAGUCCGCUGUGAAAGUCCAGGGCUCAACCCUGGAAAGCCGGUGGAAACUGUCAAGCUUGAGUCCGGAAGAGGCGAGUGGAAUUCCUGGUGUAGCGGUGAAAUGCGCAGAUAUCAGGAAGAACACCAAUGGCGAAAGCAGCUCUCUGGGACGGUACUGACGCUGAGACGCGAAAGCGUGGGGAGCGAACAGG
rnacentral:rRNA from 1 species